ACAAUCCUCGGAAUUUCUAUCAUUUCUUUCUCUCCAUACAGAGAAGAUUAGCAGGGUCCCUACGCAAGGAUGACACACAUAAAUCGACAAAUAGUAUCAAAGCCU